AAAUGAAAUUAAUCAAUGGCGAUCAUUAUCUAAAACUCAUUCAUUUGCCAUUUGGACAUGCAGUUCCAUAGCUAGGAUCCUUCAGACUCGAGCAAGCUCUAUUGAAGUAGAACUCUUCAAGUUACUGCUGAAUUGAAGAGUUGGAGUUCGCUACAAUACAAAAGAAUCAAUGAAUUUGAUUUGAAGAAAGAGUCUAAAGAAGCAAGGAGUUUGAAUGGAAGAAGGAGUCUUAGAAAUCUAAGUCAAGAGAGUUCAAGUCAAUGAGGAGUUUGAAGUGAACAAUAACUCUAUGAAUAAUUGUGCUUAAAUAGAGAUGAAGUCGUCCAGAAUACUUGUGAACAUGAAUAUAAGCUCCAGUCAGAAUGUGUAAUUGCUGUAUCUUAGGGUUGUCAAAAUGUAAGAAAAAUUCCUGUAUAGAAUGCUAUUUGGUAACAAAAAGAUAUAUUUAUUAUAUCAUAAAAAUAUUGAUUGAAGCAGAAUGCGACAUAUAUAAUAUACAUCAUUCUUGCUAGCUCUAGUAUAUGAACUUCCUUGAAGAGAUGUAUACAUAUUUUUUGGAUCAUUUUAAAAUAUAUUAGUCAAAGCUA